rnacentral:rRNA from 15 species
AAUCACUGGGCGUAAAGAGCGCGUAGGCGGGAUAGUCAGUCAGGUGUGAAAUCCUAUGGCUUAACCAUAGAACUGCAUUUGAAACUACUAUUCUAGAGUGUGGGAGAGGUAGGUGGAAUUCUUGGUGUAGGGGUAAAAUCCGUAGAGAUCAAGAGGAAUACUCAUUGCGAAGGCGACCUGCUGGAACAUUACUGACGCUGAUUGCGCGAAAGCGUGGGGAGCAAACAGGAUUAGAUACCCUGGUAGUCCACGCCCUAAACGAUGGAUGCUAGUUGUUGGAGGGCUUAGUCUCUCCAGUAAUGCAGCUAACGCAUUAAGCAUCCCGCCUGGGGAGUACGGUCGCAAGAUUAAAACUCAAAGGAAUAGACGGGGACCCGCACAAGCGGUGGAGCAUGUGGUUUAAUUCGAAGCUACACGAAGAACCUUACCUAGGCUUGACAUUGAGAGAAUCCGCUAGAAAUAGUGGAGUGUCUAGCUUGCUAGACCUUGAAAACAGGUGCUGCACGGCUGUCGUCAGCUCGUGUCGUGAGAUGUUGGGUUAAGUCCCGCAACGAGCGCAACCCCCUUUCUUAGUUGCUAACAGGUCAUGCUGAGAACUCUAAGGAUACUGCCUCCGUAAGGAGGAGGAAGGUGGGGACGACGUCAAGUCAUCAUGGCCCUUACGCCUAGGGCUACACACGUGCUACAAUGGGGCGCACAAAGAGAAGCAAUACUGCGAAGUGGAGCCAAUCUUCAAAACGCCUCUCAGUUCGGAUUGUAGGCUGCAACUCGCCUGCAUGAAGCUGGAAUCGCUAGUAAUCGCAAAUCAGCCAUGUUGCGGUGAAUACGUUCCCGGGUCUUGUACUCACCGCCCGUCACACCAUGGGAGUUGUGUUUGCCUUAAGUCAGGAUGCUAAAUUGGCUACUGCCCACGGCACACACAGCGACUGGGGUGAAGUCGUAACAAGGUAACCGUAGGUGAACCUGCGGUUGGAUCACCUCCUUUCUAGAGAAAAGCUUUUAACAUUCGCUUGUUAAAAGCCAAAGAGUAUUACCUGACAAAAGGACUUCUUGUUGCUUAGUUUUGAAAGAUUGAAGUUAUUCUUUCUCUCUUUACUUCUUGAUUGUUUUUAAUAUUUACUUGCUUGUUGUUUGUUAUUUCUUAAUACUUAUAUUUUUAGUUGUUAGUGUUUUUAUAUUUAAUGUUUAAUGUGUUUAGUUUGCUUGUGUUGGUUUCUUAAAUCUUACUUCUUGUUUUUUUCCAUUCUUAUUUUUUACUUAUUGCGUUUUAAUUCUUAUGUUUAACUUUUUGUUUUUUACGCUUUAAUAUUAAAGUUUUAGUUUUGGUGUUUUGCUUCUUGUUUCUUUGUGUUCUUAAGGUUUUUACUGAUUAUAAUUUUUGUUUGUUGUUUAAUGUUUUUAGUUUGUUGUUUCACCUUGUCUUUUGCUUGCUUGAUUUUGGUUUCUUACUGCUUAUGGUUUUUACUUCUUGCUUUUUAUUUAGUUUGAUUUUGAUUUGAUUGUGUUUCGUGUUUGUGUUUUUCUUAAAUCUCAUUUCUUUUGUUUGAGUGUUGGUUUUAGUGUUGGACUUUCUUAAUUCUUAUGUUUGGACUUUUUGCUUCUUGUUUCUUUGUAUUCUUAAGGUUUUUUACUGCUUGUGGUUUGUGGUUGUUGUGUUGGAGUUUUACUUGUUACUUCUUGGGUUUUAAUUUCUUAUUCCUUACUUAUUGCGUUUUAAUUCUUAUGUUUUAAUGUUUGGUUUCAUGUUUUUAGUUUUUCUUGCUUCUUAACGUUUAGUGGGUUCGUUAUUUUUUAAGAGGGUUUAGUGGGGUUUGGUCGUUGGGUUUUAUUUUUUUAAGCCUUAUCUUUAUCUUAUCCUUUAUUUCUUGCUUGUUUUGUUUCUUAUUUUUGAUUUCUUGCGUGUUAAGUUUUAUUUUUUGUGAAAUGUGUAUAAGGGAGUAGGGGUUAUUCUUGAUUUUUUAACGCCCUAUAUUUCUAGGGUUUUAGGCGUUCAAGGAUUUGGGUUGUAAUUUCU